GGGGAUUUAGCUCAGUGGUAGAGCACUUGCCUAGCAAGCACAAGGGCCUGGGUUCGGUCCUCAGCUCCA
rnacentral:tRNA from 1 species